rnacentral:rRNA from 1 species
AUGGCCGACGCGAACGGAUCGCCCUCGCCGUCGCCGCAGCACUCCUCCGGCGGCGAGGCCGUGACCGGCGACUUCGUGGCGGUGCCGGGCGCCGGCCCGCACGCGUCGUUCCAGGCGCUGCUCGCGUCCGUGGGCGGCCACGACCCGCACGGCGCCGUGGCGAACGUCCUGGCGCAGCGCCAGUACCAGGAGUUCGAGCAGCUGUUCGGGCCCCCCGUCCCGCUGAUCCAGGCACCGCCGCAGCCAAUGCCCCUCCAGGUCCAGGCCCCCCCGCCGACCCCGCCGCCGCCGCACUGCGCCCAGUCCAACCUGCUGAUGCCCGCCGGGACGCACAACUACCAGCACUGGCAGCCGCCCGCCCCCCAGAUGGGCGUCGCAGCGGCGCCGCGGCAGGCCCCGAUGGGAGCAGGGGUUUUUGGGGACUGGACCAUGUACAACGUCAACAACACGUUCGUGUCUGUCGCCUGCGGUAGCAGCAGCAGCUUCCGCGGCAACAACAAUGGCUACCAUCAGAGCUCGAGGCUGUGCUCCCCCACUGCAUGGCCCAAUAACUUCAUGCCGCCGCCGAGGAGCCCUUACAGUGUUUAUCCUCAUGGCAUACAGCAGCAGCAGGGUCACCAACAAGCUAUCACCUACAAUGCCAACAAUAAUCAUCAGCAAGGUAAUUCAGGCUUUGUAUCCAACUUCAGGGUGGAUCCACCAUUACUACCUGCUCAGUGCUUUCAACCAAUAUCUCCGGCGUCAAACAAUCGCUCUCCUCCACAAUACCUCGACGAGGCCAGAUACGCCGAAAGGGCCAAGAGGCGCACCCAGAAGAGGAAGAAUUCAGAGGACCCGCCUGAGAUGGGAAGUGAAAACGCCAUGAUGCUAGAUGAGAAUCACAACUUCAGCAACCAGGCCCAGCAAAUUUUCACUACUAGGUUCAACUGUAAAGACUACCAUAUGAUUGUGUGGAAGGAGUUGACCAACAGUGAUGUUGGAAAUAUUGGAAGAAUUGUACUGCCAAAGAGGGAUGCUGAGGCUAACCUUCCAGCUUUGCUUGAAAGGGAUGGCCUGAUACUCAAGAUGGAGGACAUGAGGCUUCCUGUUACAUGGAACUUUAAGUUCAGGUACUGGCCUAACAACAAGAGCAGAAUGUAUGUCUUGGAAAGUACGGGAGAAUUUUCAAAGAACCAUAAUCUAGAGACACAAGACACCUUCAUCAUCUACAAAAGCCACGAGUCCGGCAAAUUUAUUGUCCGUGGGGAGAAGGUGACUGGGCAGUGCGCUACCUUAAUUUGUCCGGAAUGCAAGGAGGCAGGCCGCAUCUACAACAAACAAUGCGGGUUCACCAGGAACCUGCAUGCCAAGAGAAGAAGAUAG